rnacentral:rRNA from 1 species
UACGUAGGGGGCAAGCGUUGUCCGGAAUCAUUGGGCGUAAAGCGCGUGUAGGCGGCUUGGUAAGUCCGCUCUGAAAGCCCGGGGCUCAACCCCGGGAGGCGGGUGGAUACUGCUGGGCUCGAGUCCGGAAGAGGAGAGUGGAAUUCCCGGUGUAGCGGUGAAAUGCGCAGAUAUCGGGAAGAACACCGUGGCGAAGGCGGCUCUCUGGGACGGUACUGACGCUGAGACGCGAAAGCGUGGGAGGC